CGGUAUUCUAACCAGAAAGGCCACGGCUAAUUACGUGCCAGCAGCCGGCGGUUAAUACGUAGGUGGGCCAAGCGUUGUUCCGGGAUUUAUUGGGCGUAAAGCGAAGCCGCAGGGCGGUUUCUUAAGUUCUGAUGUGAAAGGCCCCCGGGUUCAACCGGGGAGGGGUCAUGGGAAACUGGGAGACUGGAGUGCAGAGGAGGGAGAGUGGAAUUCCAGGUGUAGCGGUGAAAGGCGUAGAUAUAUGGAGGAACACCAGUGGGGAAGGCGGUUCUCUGUUCUGUAACUGACGCUGAGGUUCGAAAGCGUGGGGAGCAACCAGGAUUAGAUACCUUGGUAUUCCACGCCGUAAACGAUGAGUGUUAAGUGUUGGAGGGUUUCCGCCCUUCAGUGCUGCAGUUAACGCAUUAAGCACUCCCCCUGGGGAGUACGCCCGCAAGGUUGAAAUUCAAAGGAAUUGACGGGGGCCCGCACAAGCGGUGGAGCAUGUGGUUUAAUUGGAAGCAACGGGAAGACCCUUACCAGUUCUUGACAUCCUUUGACCAUUUUAGAGAUAGAGUUUCCCCUUCGGGGGCAAAGUGACAGGUGGGGCAUGGUUUUCGUCAGUUCGUUUCGUGAGAUGUUGGGUUAAUUCCCGCAACGAGCGCACCCCUUAUUGUUAGUUGCCAUCAUUCAGUUGGGCAUUUUAGCAAGACUGCCGGGGACAACCCGGAGGAAGGUGGGGAGGACGUCAAAUCAUCAUGCCCUUUAUGCCCUGGGUUACACACGUGUUACAAUGGGAAGUACAAGGAGUGGGGAAGUCGGGAGGUUAAGUUAUUUUCUUAAAGCUUUUUUCAGUUCGGAUUGCAGGCUGCAAUUCCCCUGCAGGAAGCCGGAAUCGUUAGUAUUCGCGGAUCAGCACGCCGCGGGGAAUACGUUCCCGGCCCUUGUACACCCCGCCCGUCACACCAGGAGAGUUGUAACACCCGAAGUCGGUGAGGUAACGUGUGAGCCAGCGCAAUGG
rnacentral:rRNA from 1 species